AGUGAACGCUGGCGGUAGGCCUAACACAUGCAAGUCGAACGGCAGCACAGUAAGAGCUUGCUCUUACGGGUGGCGAGUGGCGGACGGGUGAGGAAUACAUCGGAAUCUACUUUUUCGUGGGGGAUAACGUAGGGAAACUUACGCUAAUACCGCAUACGACCUACGGUUGAAAGCAUGGGAUCUUCGCACCUUGCGCGAUUGAAUGCGCCGAUGUUGGAUUAGCUAGUUGGGCGGGUAAACGCCCACCAAGGCGCCGAUUCGUAGCUGGUGUGAGAGGCUGGUCGCGCGCCCGAGAACGUGAACGCCGACCUGGGGACUAAGGGAGGGAGCAGGUGGGAAUAUUGGACAAUGGGCGCAAGCCUGAUCCAGCCAUACCGCGUGUGUGAAGAAGGCCUUCGGGUUGUAAAGCCCUUUUGUUGGGAAAGAAAAGCAGCAGGUUAAUACCCCGCUGUUCUGACGGUACCCAAAGAAUAAGCACCGGCUAACUUCGUG
rnacentral:rRNA from 1 species